CUUUUACAAUGAAGAGUUUGAUCCUGGCUCAGGAUGAACGCUAGCUACAGGCUUAACACAUGCAAGUCGAGGGGCAGCAUUUCAGUUUGCUUGCAAACUGGAGAUGGCGACCGGCGCACGGGUGAGUAACACGUAUCCAACCUGCCGAUAACUCGGGGAUAGCCUUUCGAAAGAAAGAUUAAUACCCGAUGGUAUAAUCAGACCGCAUGGU
rnacentral:rRNA from 1 species